rnacentral:rRNA from 1 species
UACGUAGGGUGCAAGCGUUGUCCGGAAUUAUUGGGCGUAAAGAGCUCGUAGGCGGCCUGUCGCGUCGGAUGUGAAAGCCCGGGGCUUAACCCCGGGUCUGCAUUCGAUACGGGCAGGCUGGAGUGUGGUAGGGGAGAUCGGAAUUCCUGGUGUAGCGGUGAAAUGCGCAGAUAUCAGGAGGAACACCGGUGGCGAAGGCGGAUCUCUGGGCCAUUACUGACGCUGAGGAGCGAAAGCGUGGGGAGCGAACAGG